AAGGAAUAUUGGUCAAUGGGCGCAAGCCUGAACCAGCCAUGCCGCGUGCAGGAUGACGGCCCUAUGGGUUGUAAACUGCUUUUGUACGGGAAAAAACCCUCCGACGUGUCGGGGGCUGAUGGUACCGUAAGAAUAAGGAUCGGCUAACUCCGUGCCAGCAGCCGCGGUAAUACGGAGGAUCCUAGCGUUAUCCGGAUUUAUUGGGUUUAAAGGGUGCGCAGGCGGAAUAAUAAGUCAGUGGUGAAAUCCUGCAGCUUAACUGCAGAACUGCCAUUGAUACUGUUAUUCUUGAGUAUAUUUGAAGUGGGCGGAAUGUGUCAUGUAGCGGUGAAAUGCUUAGAUAUGACACAGAACACCAAUUGCGAAGGCAGCUCACUAAGCUAUAACUGACGCUCAUGCACGAAAGCGUGGGGAUCAAAC
rnacentral:rRNA from 1 species